rnacentral:rRNA from 1 species
CCCUUAGAUGUUCUGGGCCGCACGCGCGCUACACUGAUUCAUGCAACAAGUUUUGUCCUUGGCUGAUAGGCCUGGGUAAUCUUUGAACGUGAAUCGUGAUGGGGAUAGAUGCUUGCAAUUAUUCAUCUUCAACGAGGAAUUCCUAGUAAACGCAAGUCAUCAGCUUGCAUUGAUUACGUCCCUGCCCUUUGUACACACCGCCCGUCGCACCUACCGAUUGAAUGGUCCGGUGAAAUCUUCGGAUCUGAGAGAUGUCUGAUUAAUUUCGGACGCCUUUUGGAAAAGUUGUUUAAACCUUACCAUUUAGAGGAAGGUGAAGUCGUAACA